CGCGCACAGUUACACUGUCUGAAAUUCUCAUCACACGCUACCAAAAAAAAGGGGGGGGGCGGAGCAAGAUUCUGUAAUUUGCAUUAACUUUAUCAGUCAGCCAAUGAAGGGCCACCUUUUCAAAGGAGGUAUCGGGCAGUGGCCAAUCAGGAAGAGGGUUUAUUUGCAUAUGCUUAAGUGAGGCCAGGCGCGCAGGGCGGGAAUUCCUAGGCGCGCCUUUCUCCUCAUUUCUCCUUUCUCCCGGCUGCGCUGGGGAAAGGUCACUCUGCGCCGAGCUGAGACACUGCGUCUGGCGCUGGGGUGGGAGGGAGAUAAGGGGAAAGAGCAACAGCAACAGCAGCCGCCGCCAUGAUCACCGUUGUGGGGACACCGGGAAGGGGAGGGCUGUAUCCAUUUUGCUCCUUUGAUGAAGCCGCCCAAACACCGUUUAGAAACCUGCUUAUUUAUAGCGCAGUGUUCACCGGCAUAACACAUCCUGCUCCCUUGCCUAUUCUAGCUUCAUUUGUGCCCGCCCUCUUUCUGCUGUGAUUUCUUACUCCUCUCUCUCCCGGGCUGGCUGAGCUGCACCGCGCUUGGCGGUGGAGUUUGCUCCCCAGAGGCUGGGUCCGAGCCCUUCAGCCUGCGCCCCUGGGUCUCGGCUGCAGGGGGUCUUUGUAUGGCCGCAUCUGUUGUAUGAAAGCCCGCGUGCGUUAGGGGGAGCUAAUGGGAUUCCCUGAUACACACUGGGAGACUUCGGUAUGUUAGACCCGAGCCUGCCCUUGAACGGCGACGAGCCCCUUCCUAGCUAGGCGUAGGUUAAAAAUUGCAAGAAGCGCAUGUGCUCCCCCCUCCCCGGUUCGCAGGGCUGGAAAUCCGCACAGACGCUGCAAUGUCACACGCUGGAUCCCGUGCGUGUGUCUCAGGCACCUCUUGACGUCUGGCGCGGGCUGAGAUUGAAAGGCAGCUCCUUUCCCAUCAGAGUCCACAGAGGGCGCUGAGGCAACGAGAAAUCAUCCCCGGGAAAGCCGCAUGGCGUCCUCAAGCGGGGUAGGCGCUCAGAGAUGCUGCCAAGUCUCACUCAGCUGGGAGGCAAAUCUAGAUUAAUUUUAAGGCAGUUUUUAGAAACACCUCUCUCCUGAAGAAGGAAUUUACAGCUUGUUUCAGUGAGAACUAACUUCACUGAGUUUCUGCCAUUUCCACCGAAACUGGAACAGCUUAAGCUAGGCCCUGCCUACAGGCUCAGGUUGGUUUAGGGCUUGUUGGCCAGUUCUGUCUAGAGACCAGUCCUUAUUGCAUUUGGUGGGUAGAGACAGUUGGAUAGCAGUUUUAGGGACUACUUAAACUCUGCUUCCCAAUUACUGGUAACUGGGCUAGAGUUGCAGCAGCUAUAGUCUAAGGGCUUGUCUUCACUGACAUCACUGCAGCAGUUCGUUGGAGUUAGUACAAUUGAGUUACUGCACUUCAAAACAACACUGGAAUUACGCACACAGUGAUUUGAUUAGCAGCACAGAGUGAUUGGAUUAGCAGAAUGAUUGGAUUAGUUGAUGAGCAGUUUUAACCCAAGCUGCUGCUUCCCCUCAGCAUUACUAGGGCCUUGUCCAUACUAAAAAUUUAGGUUGACCCAGCUCCAUCAUUCAGGGGUGUGAAAAAUCCACCCAGAGCGGCAUCGGACCUAAGCCCUGUUGUAGAUAGCAUGUACACAAAAUUCUUCUGUUGAGCUAGCUAUCCCUUUUUAGGGAGGUGGAGUAACUACGCAGUCGGUGUAGGUUGUGUCACACUGAAGUACUGCAAUGCAGUGCUAUAGUUGUGCCACUGUAGCGUUUCAAGUGUAGACAAGCCCUAGCUCAAGCAUCAGCAUCACUCAAAUUUCAAAGCCCCCAGUUCCCCACCCUCGACAGGAAAAUUCACACCCCUGAAUGAUGCAGUUAAACCGACUUAAUCCCUAGUGUAGACAGUACUAGGUAAAUGGGAGAAUUCUCCCAUUGACCUAACUACUGUCUCUUGGAGAGGUGGAUUACCUAUGCCGAAGUGAGGGCUACUCCUGUCGGCGUAGGUAGUGUCUUCACUGAAACUGCUUGUGAUUCAUGAACCUGGGGAAGAUAAGUGUCUGAAUGCCUAAAUUGAGUGUGGGGCCUGAAACAAAACAAAACAAAACGAUGAGGGGGGGAAGAUUGCCCUCCCUUAUGACUUUUAGCCUAGUGGCUAGGAGGCUCAACUGGGAUAUGGGAAUCCCCGGUUCAAGUCCUCCCUACUACUACUGAAGAAGUACAGAGAAGAGAAACAAAAAUUAUUAGGAGUCUGGAAAAGCUUCCAUAUGAGGAGAGAUUAAAAAGACGGGGACUGUUCAUUUUAGGAAAGAGAUGAUUAAGGGGGGAUAUGUUAGAGGCACAGUUGCCAACUUUCAUAUGCUAAAUAAGCACCCCGACUUUCUCAAUAAGCCAAAAACUAAGCUAAUCCCAUUUCAAAACAAGCCAAUCCCUAAGAACCUCAACACUCUAUGUAACUAGAUCCCCUCGGCAUGUAGUCUGAAACUGUGGUUGGCCCACUGUGCACCCCUGACUCUCUUCCCCGCUUGCCCGUGCUUGCCACUUUCCCCUGCUUCCCCUCCCCCUGCCACUGCUUUCCAGGAGCCAAUAAAAAAAAAUGAAGCAACAAGCUACAAGGCAAAAACUACCCAACAAGCAACUCACAAGCCAAUUAAGCCAAAAAAAAUGCCCAAUUUCUGUGUUUUUUCCUGCAGGUUUGGCAUGUCUGGUUAGAGGUCUAUAUAAUCAUGAAUGGUGUGGAGAAAGUGUAUAAGGAACUGUUAUGUAUCCCUUCACGUAACACAAGAACUGAGGGUCACCCAAUGAAAUUAAUAGCAGCAGGUUUAAAACAGACAUAAGGAAGCACUUCUUCACACAAUGCGCAGUCAACCUGUGGAACUCAUUGCCUGGGAUGUUGUGAAGACCACAGGUCCUUGCCUGGCCGAGGGCACGUGGAGGGUCUGCGAUGCCGCGCGGGCUCCUCACAGCUCCUCGUGCGGAUCUCCCCGAUGAGGUUCUGGUGGGGGGUGCCUCGGAGCCUCAGCCCCGCCAGAGCCUCUCUGAAUGAAACAGCUGAAACUACUAGUGAAGAAGGCACCUCUUCCACAACAUGAGUCUCAGCCCUGGUCUACACUACGAGUUUAGGUCGAAUUUAGCAAUGUUAGAUUGAUUUAACCCUGCACCCGUCCACACAACGAAGCCAUUUUUGUCGACUUAAUGGGCUCUUAAAAUUUAUUUCUGUACUUCUUCCUGAUGAGGGGAUUAGCACUGAAAUCGACAUUGCCGGGUUGAAUUUGGGUUAGUGUGGACGGAAUUCGACAGUAUUGGCCUCCGGGAGCAAUCCCACAGUGCUCCAUUGUGACCUCUCUGGACAGCACUCUCAAUACGGAUACACUAGCCAGGUACACAGGAAAAGCCCCGCAAACUUUUGAAUUUCAUUUCCUGUUUGGCCACCGUGGCAUGACCACGCAGAGCUCAUCAGCAGAGAUGACCAUGGAGUUCCAGAAUCGCAAAAGAGCUCCAGCAUGGACUGAACGGGAGGUACUGGAUCUGAUCGCUGUAUGGGGAGAUGAAUCCGUGCUAUCAGAACUCCAUUCCAAAAGACGAAAUGCCAAAAUAUUUGAAAAAAAUCUCCACGGGCAUGAAGGACAGAGGCUAUCACAGGGUCCCCCAGCAGUGCCACGUGAAACUUAAGGAGCUCAGGCAAGCCUACCAAAAAACCCAAGAGGCAAACGCCCGCUCGGGGUCAGAGCCCCAGACAUGCCGCUUCUAUGAUGAGCUGCAUGUAGUUCUAGGGGGUGCCCCUACAACUACCCCACACCUGUACGUGGACUCCUGCAAGGGAGUCUCACGCAACAGGGAUGAGGAUUUGCUGGACGAGGAAGAUAGCGCACACCAGGCAAGCGGAGAAACCAUUCUUCUCGACAGCCAAGAACUGUUUAUCACCCUGGAGCCAAUACCCUCCCAACCUUCUCAACCCAGGCUUCCGCACCUUGAAGGCAGAGAAGGCGUCUCUGCUGCAAAUGUUUCAACCCUGUGACUAGCAUCUCUGUCCCAAAGACUAGCGCAGAUAAGAAGGCGAAAUAAAUGCACUCAAAAUGAAAUGUUCUCUGAGCUCAUGCAGUCCACCCAAACUGAAAGAGCCCAGCAGAAUGCAUGGAGGCAGACAAUGGCAGAGUCCAGGAAAGCACAAAAUGAAUGCAAGGACAGGAGGGACGCGCAAGAGGAUAGAUGGCUGGAGAAACAGUCGAGGUGCUGGGAUCAAGAGAAAAGGUGGCGGCAGCAUGAUGAAAGGAGGCAGGAUGCAAUGCUGAGGCUACUGGAGGAUCAAACUGAUAUGCUUCGGUGUAUGGUUGAGGUGCAGGAAAGGCACAGACCGCCACUGCAGCCCCUGUGUAACCAACUGCCCUCCUCCCCAAGUUCCAUAGCCUCCUCACCCAUACGCCCAAGAAUGUGGGACGGGAGACUCUGGGCACCCAACCACGCCACCCCAGAGGACUGCCCAAUCAACAGAAAACUGGCAUUCAGUAAGUUUUGAAGUGCAGUGUGGCCUUGUCCUUCCCUCCUCCCGUCCUCCUGCACCCCUCUCAGGCUACCUUGGCAGUUAUCCCCCUAUUUGUGUGACAAAUUAAUAAA